rnacentral:rRNA from 1 species
CACGCCCUAAACGAUGUCUACUGGUUGUUGGGCCUUCAUUGGCUUAGUAACGAAGCUAACGCGUGAAGUAGACCGCCUGGGGAGUACGGUCGCAAGAUUAAAACUCAAAUGAAUUGACGGGGACCCGCACAAGCGGUGGAUGAUGUGGAUUAAUUCGAUGCAACGCGAAAAACCUUACCUACCCUUGACAUGCCACUAACGAAGUAGAGAUACAUUAGGUGCUCGUAAGAGAAAGUGGACACAGGUGC